CACCUCCUCGGCGCCACCACUCCCAUCAUUUUUUCUGCGCCGCCGCCCAUCUCCCCACCUCCCACAUCUUCUGCUCCCUCCCCCACCCGACGUCCUCCCAUCUCCGCCCGAUGAUGCGAGAUCCUCCGACCAUCCCCAUCUUCUGCUACCUCUCUUCGCCCUUCUCUUCGGAUCGAUAGAGAGAUCAGGGGAUCGCGACAAGUGUUUUGAUGGUGAAGAUCCAGCGCCGCCGGGGAGAAGGAGAUCGACACCCAUGCCGCUCCUGGCUCGUCCCUACCACGCGUCGAUGUCGAGUGUCCGCCGCGGUCCGUCGGUGCCGCUGCCAUCGUCCGCGUUCUGGCCAGAUCCCGCGUCCACUAUCACCACAUCUGCAAGCGGAGCGACAUAAUCGCGGAGGCUGGAUGAGACCCAACGUCAACCCGCAUCUCCCUGCCCGGUCGCGUGAAGGAUCGACCACCAACAGAUCAUCCACGACCACGCCGACGCAAGAUCCGCCUUGUCCCAACUACAAAGCCGCCCCGUCGGAUCUGUGAGCAAGGGGACCGUCGUCUUCUACGUGUUGUGCUAGCUGCCAAGCUUUGCACCUAGACCAUCACGGUGUUCUUCACCUGGUGUUGUGCCUCAGGUCCCUCCUUGUGCAGAUCCUCUCUGGAUAGGUCUCCCUCUCUAACCUCCGAUGUCCUCCUACUUCUAUCCCGCCAUAUGUGUUCUCUGCUAUGUGAUCUCACUUUGCAAUUUAUCUGCUUGUAUAGAUUGUGCUGGCCUCUUCCUGUUUUUAAGAUCUAUGUUUGUUAGGUAGUUCUGUUGUACUCGUUAUAACUGAUACUUCUCUGUUUCCCAUUCAAUAAUGAUUUGUGUUUGAUCUGGUGAGAUAUUAGGCUCAAUUGUAGUUGUUUCUACUAGUUUAAAUACUAUUUUGGUCUGUAGUUAUGAUCCAGAAGGGUAGUGAUCCAAAUGUUAAAAACAUUGUAGUAUGAAACAUAAGAUGGAAGAUAUUACUGAAGGACCCAGGUUGUCGGGUUGAAUAUGUGUGAGGUCUACCUUACAAAACAUGGUAGCAUGCCAAACUGAGAAGAACUUAUAAUAUUGUACAAUUUAAGAGCAGCUUUGUAUCUGUAUACUUGUGAUUUCAGAAGUACCAAGCUGCUACUCAUAGUGGUAUAUGGUUGUUGCUAAACCGUGACAAGCUUAAUUGAAUACCUUGUACUUUCGUUUCUUAAGUAUACUAAAGAUUGUACUACACACCUUUUAGAAUUAGUAAAUGCAGUCCUGAACCAUGUGUUCUUAUUCUUAUUCUCCUUUUGUUUAAUGCAUAACUGUGACCUGGUAGCAUCACUGCAUUAUCUGUGUCUUGUUUGGGCAGGAUCUAGAGGAGUCUGAAGAGGCAGCCCAGGGCAGCUCGUCAAGAAGCUGCACAAAGAUGGUGAUUUUGGAAUCAACUGCUAACUCCCUUUAUUUCCUCACCAUUGUUUUGUCUGCUGACUAUGUGUUACCACUACUGCACGUAUGUUAAUUGAGGCAAGUAACAAGUAGUGUAUAUGUGUUGCUAUUAGUAAUGAGUCACGUGUUUGUAUUUUGUAGUUUUGUCGAUCUAGAAUAUAUGAAAAAGGUUGCUGUAGUUCUGUCUUUUAGGUGGUGUUAUGCAAAUGAUCUUUUCUCACGUAAUAUGUAUGGAUUUACAUUAAAUGGUUCAACUAUUUUUGGAAUGUGUACAUAUUGUUGGGCAUCUCAUAAACUCAUCUGUCCAUCAAAUUUAUAACUAGCAACUAGAACUGUAAUAGCGAAAUAACAUGUUACCGAUCUGCUGGUAUGUCUGUGGAGAAAAGGAUAUUAUUGUCUUGUUAUUCUUAUUUUGGUGAAGCCAUCUCUUGUUAUAUGAUGAUAAUAGUUCUUAAAAUGCAAGUGUCAAGAAGUAAAAUCUGAUAUUUUGGUACUGUAGUCUAGUUUGCUCUGUAAUGUGUUACCUACAAAGAAUAUACUAUUAUUUCAAUGAUGCAAUACUAGGAGAACUUUGAUGAUAUCUUUCUGCCAUGUUUCCUUGUCUCACAUUUCUCAAAGACUUUAUUAUUUCAGGAGCAGUACAAGGACAACAGGAAGUGCUACUACUGGUGGCACCACACAGCCAGGAGAAACAGUCAGGAAGAUCAUGAAGCAAGGAAAGAAAAGGUGGACUCUACGUAGUCAUAUCUGUGUUCUAUGCUUCAGAGCAGAUAUUUUGCCCAAAUUCAAGACAAUAAGUGUUGUUCCUCUAUUUUACAAGAGCUCCAAGCCAAAGUUCAAAGAAGCUCAAGUAUAUUUUUGUAAAGCCAGUUAUAUUGUGAUAGCGAGGUUAUCUGGCUGGGAUGUGAACGUGAAUUCAUGUGUCUGUUUCUGAUUCUAAGAGUGCCAUACACUGUUUUUGUUGUUAUUAAAUAAUUUCACAUUUUCCUCUCUUUUCUAA